rnacentral:rRNA from 1 species
GACGAACGCUGGCGGCGUGCUUAACACAUGCAAGUCGAACGAAGCUUGAUUACGGAUUCUUCGGUUGAAGUAUGAUAUGACUGAGUGGCGGACGGGUGAGUAACGCGUGAGUAACCUGCCCUUCAGAGGGGGAUAGCGUUUGGCAACGAACGGUAAUACCGCAUAAUGUAUUUUGACCGCAUGAUCGAAAUACCAAAGAUUUAUCGCUGAAGGAUGGACUCGCGUCUGAUUAGGUAGUUGGUGGGGUAACGGCCGACCAAGCCGACGAUCAGUAGCCGGACAGAGAGGUUGCGCUGCCACAUCGGGACUGAGACACGGCCCAGACUCCUACGGGAGGCAGCAGUGGGGAAUAUUGCACAAUGGGCGCAAGCCUGAUGCAGCAACGCGGCGUGAAGGAAGACGGUUUUCGGAGUGUAAACUUCUGUUCUUAGUGAAGAAUAAUGACGGUAGCUAAGGAGCAAGCCACGGCUAACUACGUG